rnacentral:rRNA from 1 species
GACGAAGGAUGCAAGCGUUAUCCGGAUUCACUGGGUUUAAAGGGUGCGUAGGUGGGUUGGUAAGUCAGUGGUGAAAUCUCCAGGCUUAACUUGGAAACUGCCAUUGAUACUAUCAAUCUUGAAUACCGUGGAGGUCAGCGGAAUAUGUCAUGUAGCGGUGAAAUGCUUAGAUAUGACAUAGAACACCAAUUGCGAAGGCAGCUGGCUACACGAAUAUUGACACUGAUGCACGAAAGCGUGGGGAUCAAACAGG